rnacentral:rRNA from 1 species
UACGGAGGGGGCUAGCGUUGUUCGGAAUUACUGGGCGUAAAGCGCGCGUAGGCGGACCUGCAAGUCGGGGGUGAAAGCCCGAGGCUCAACCUCGGAACUGCCUUCGAUACUGCGGGUCUCGAGUCCGGGAGAGGUGAGUGGAAUUCCUAGUGUAGAGGUGAAAUUCGUAGAUAUUAGGAAGAACCCCGGUGGCGAAGGCGGCUCACUGGCCCGGUACUGACGCUGAGGCGCGAAAGCGUGGGAGCAAACAGG